UUCAUUUUUCUCUGUUCGUUUUUCUUUCUUCGUUUUCUUGGUUUCUCCCGCUCUUCGCUUUCUUCCUUUUCUGGAUAUCUGCCGUUCUUCGCUAUUGUUUUCUGCCAUUUUUUAACCCUUGGUGGCUUAUCUUUUGUUAAUCUUUGUGUUUGCAGGUGUGGAGCCAUUUUUCAAAGGAAAAAUUCAUCGGCCGGUGAAGGUUAUUUAGCUUGGUGGGUUGGGUUAUACGGAUCUUCAGCUUGGUGAAUAUUGUUUUGGGUAUCUGAGUAAGAUUGGGAAAGAAAAGGAGAUUGUGGAACUUUCAUGGUUGAGUUCCAGCACUCUAUACGUAUUCUGCCCUGUAGCAUGUACUCAUGCAGUUCCAACUUUUCUACAAGCUCGAUACAGGGAAAUGAACCUUUCUGUUCAAUAAAAAGUUUUUCUUUGCAUCUGGACCACUGCACUUUAAAAGUGUUAAGGGGUGUCUUUAUGCUGGGAUCAUCACAGCUUACGCAUCUUUUCAACCUUUAAAGUCCUUCAGGGUGGUGUUCUGAUUUUUCAUUCCUUCUCAUCACUUCUACAAGAGGAAAUUCCAUGUGCUCAAAACCCAAUUCGAUUCCGUUGCUAAGAGUUUGCUGAGCAAGUCCCUGUACGGAAACAUGGUUGGAGUCGUUGGUUCUAUGUGGGUUCGGGCAGCAGCUACUUUUUCUUUGUUUUUGGAUUUGUAAGAAGAUACAUGCUCAGAUUCCAUUUCUGCAAUUAAAGAUUGCUUAAAGAAAAGUUCUACCAAAACUUUGCCUACACUAUCCAUCUCUGUUCUCCGCCGUCCAUCACCAAAAUGGAGCCUGUAAAGUUUGACAGAACCGAAGUGGAAGGAAAACCACCUUAAAGAGAGAAGAGAGAGGUUUAGCGGAUGAAUUUAUACUUAGAACCUCAAGGAUCCAACCGUAUAAUCCACACUUUAUUACAGCAUAAGCCGAAAGCCAUCUGGGUUUUCUUCAAAACUUCAAGCAGUUCAAUAGCAACUGAGAUAUGCCCUUCUUCUUCUUCAGCUCAGAUCUAUAUCGGUGAGCGCUGCUUGACAAUGUCCAGACCAUGUUUGUUGGUUUGUCUGCUCCUGUUAAUUGUGUUUACGUCACAGUUCGAAUGGAAGAAAUAUGGGGAUGAUGAUCCAAGUCCAAGUACCUCCAAGAAACACAAGUACAUAUCUGAAAGGGAAGAAACUGCGAAAGAAAAGUUGGGACUUAGGUUAUAACUUCUCAUAGCAGUUAAUUAUAACAAGCUCACAUCUUCAGUGCCCAGAGUAAGUGUUUUACAACACCACAUGAACGAUCUAGAUACAAAUGCUUGAAUUGAUGCUGCGGCCCCUAAUAAUUUGCUUCUUCUGUUAAUGGUUUCUUUAUCCGUAUUGUUUGCGCAUUUCUCUAAGGCAACAGUUAUUGGGAUCGCAAUAAAGUCCUCGUGCACUCUGCCAUAGUGGACAAAAUAAGGAAGGGAGUGAAUAUGACAUUUUGGAGUGCUAAUCUCAAUUUUUUUUUUUUUCUUUUUCAAAAUGACUGAUCUUUGAUUUCCCUGGGUUGGCCUUUAAAUUUUUCUGAGAGAAGGAAUAUGCAGGAUUAUGUAGCUUUUCAAAUUACAAAAUUAUCUUCAAUUGUCCUUCCUAAUUUAAUUGUUUUGGCCUUCUUUGUUUUACCUUGUUUUCUUCUAUGGAGAAUGUUUCUCCAAUUUGCACAAGUUUGUCUGUAUAGUUAAACUGCAUUUUCGGAAUAAGAAAAUCCUCUUGCUUAUGCCUAGCUCACAUCUUACCAAUUGAGAGAUAUGGAGAGAAGAGGGGAGGGAGAAUUCACCCAGUCCAAUGACUGGACUUUGAAAAUGCAGAUAAUCCUCUGUGUUCGUAAAUAUAUUCAUGAAAGGGAAAAUACAAUAAAUCCUCUUGCUUAUGCUUAUCAUUUUUAGUUUAAUGAUUUGGUUUCCCUUUCAUGGAAUAUAUAAACAAAGAAAACGGUAGGAAGAACUUUGUGAGAGAGAAUUCACCUAGUUUUUGUAAACUAACGGUGCUAAAGGCCAUGUAAUCAAAGCAUUUAUGUAAUCCCAACACAAGUUAUUAGAUAAGGGCCUUUGAAUCUUGUUGCAUUAAGUACUUCAAAGGCAAGUUCACCUUGGAUAUUCUUAAACUUUUUUUUGGGCGUAUUGUUUGGGCAAAAAAAUAUUGGUUUGGGCUGAGUUUAGAAUUGUUAUCAGUCCAGAGGCCAUGCUUAGGAGUCAUUGGGGGUUAUCCAGCUCAUGGGCCGAGUAGUCAAGGCUGGCCGUAUCACAUUACGAAUCUGUGGGGUGUGGGUGAGUCAUAUUACGGGAAGGAGUUUCGAUAGGAUAAGGAUGUUGGAGUUUGAGACUGAAUGCGGCUUGAUAACAAGUCGGG